rnacentral:snRNA from 1 species
GUGCUCACUUCGGCAGCAUAUAUACUAAAAUCGGAAAGAUACAGAGGUGAUUAGCAUGGCCCCUGCUCAAGGAUGAUGCGCAAAUUUGUGAAGCGUUCCAUAUAAAA